GCUGGGAUGAGCUCAGUGAUAGAGACUUGCUUGGCAUGUAUGAGGUCCUAGGUUCAAUCCCCAGUCCUGCA
rnacentral:tRNA from 1 species